rnacentral:rRNA from 1 species
UAGGGAAUCUUCGGCAAUGGGGGCAACCCUGACCGAGCAACGCCGCGUGAGUGAAGAAGGUUGUCGGAUCGUAAAGCUCUGUUGUAAGAGAAGAACGUGUGCGAGAGUGGAAAGUUCACACAGUGACGGUAACUUACCAGAAAGGGACGGCUAACUACGUGCCAGCAGCCGCGGUAAUACGUAGGUCCCGAGCGUUGUCCGGAUUUAUUGGGCGUAAAGCGAGCGCAGGCGGUUGAAUAAGUCUGAAGGUAAAGGCAGUGGCUGAACCAUUGUUGGCUUUGGCAACAGUUACACUUGAGUGCAGAAGGGGAGAGUGGAAUUACAUGUGUGGCGGUGGACUGCGUAGAUAUAUGGAGGAACACCGGUGGCGAAAGCGGCUCUCUAGUCUGUAACUGACGCUGAGGCUGGAAAGAGUGGGGAGCAAGCAGG